rnacentral:rRNA from 1 species
UACAGAGGCCUCGAGCGUUAGGCGGAAUCACUGGGCUUAAAGCGUGUGUAGGCGGACUCCUAAGUGCCUUGUGAAAUCCCACGGCUCACCCGUGGAACUGCUGGGCAUACUGGGAGUCUUGAGCCACCUAGGGGCGAGCGGAACAAAUGGUGGAGCGGUGAAAUGCGUAGAUAUCAUUUGGAACGCCAACGGCGAAAGCAGGCAGCUGGGGAUGCACCGACGCUGAGACACGAAAGCCAGGGGAGCGAACGGG